UGGGGGAAUAUGGACAAAUGGGCGAAAGCCUGAUCCAGCCAUGCCGCGUGUGUGAAGAAGGCCUUUUUGGUUGUAAAGCACUUUAAGUGGGGGAGGAAAAGCUUAUGGUUAAUACCCAUAAGCCCUGACGUUACCCACAGAAUAAGCACCGGCUAACUCUGUGCCAGCAGCCGCGGUAAUACAGAGGGUGCAAGCGUUAAUCGGAAUUACUGGGCGUAAAGCGCGCGUAGGUGGUUAUUUAAGUCAGAUGUGAAAGCCCCGGGCUUAACCUGGGAACUGCAUCUGAUACUGGAUAACUAGAGUAGGUGAGAGGGGAGUAGAAUUCCAGGUGUAGCGGUGAAAUGCGUAGAGAUCUGGAGGAAUACCGAUGGCGAAGGCAGCUCCCUGGCAUCAUACUGACACUGAGGUGCGAAAGCGUGGGUAGCAAACAGGAUUAGAUACCCUGGUAGUCCACGCCGUAAACGAUGUCUACCAGUCGUUGGGUCUUUUAAAGACUUAGUGACGCAGUUAACGCAAUAAGUAGACCGCCUGGGGAGUACGGCCANCAAGGUUA
rnacentral:rRNA from 1 species